UCACGGUGUCAACUCACUCCCUCCACGUGUGUUUAUCUACUUCUUGGCAAUGGGCACUGUCUGUACCGCUUCACUUGCUUAUCUUCUCCUUCUGGUCACUGCAGUGUGGACCCUCCGAGAGGAUUCCCCUCCAUCCUGUUCAUCACAGAGCAGAGUGUGGCUAACAGAAGACAUCCAUCAAAUUUGUGCAGAGUUCGAAAGCAACAGAGAAGAUGCUGCUCCCUUAAGUUACACAACCCGAUGGAGCCCCGGGGGCAGCAACUGCGCCUUCCCGUCUCGCGCCCGACACUUACCUGCACGCAGCACAGGCACGCAUUCUACUCUCAGGCCACUCGGCCCUCAUGGACCUGAUCUGAAAGUGGCCUGCUUCAUGGCUGCAUACGGGGACAAUUCUUGGGGCAGAGCUACACGGGGCUGCAGUUGUUGGAACUGAAAACGUUCUUAAGUUGCUUCUGGGGGUCCACUUCUCAAGCUGAAAUGGGACAACAGUAUUUACCACGAUGCUCUCCUAAGAUGACCACACAAGAUACAAAAUGUAAGACCCAAAAGACGCCGCUGAAAAUGCAGCCCUGUCACAAUUCAUUUCAGAAGCCCAGCACUAAUGAAAAAAGAGCGAAUCUAUUUGUUUUUAAGGAAAAGCUUUCUUCAGCCCCGCUUAGGGCAUGAUUUAUAGCCGUGAUUUUCACGUGGCUUCCACCAACCCUGCUGGCCUGCCUUUGUUGAGUGCUGGUGGCAGUUGGGGAUAAAUGGCUUUCUAUCUUCUGGUAUCACAUGUCCUACCUCAAAUGUAAUUACAAGUUUCUGGAAGCUGCAUAUAAAGGACUCAUUGAGACCAGCCGUUCAGGUUGUUUACUGUGGACCAUACAGACAGUUAUUCAGAACUGUAAACUCACUCAGUGACUAAUAGACUUUAAAAAAAAAUGAAUAAACCUCUUGAAACAGGGAACUUGCACUUUAAUCAGUACCUGGACGUUACAUUUUGCCGUUAGACCAGAGGCUGCACCCAGGGUUUAAAUGUGAGGCCUUCACUGGUCUGUGUGUGCCCACUGACCUGGUUCUGUGGGGCUCCCACGGCAGCCUUCACAGCCCAGAUGGAUGAGGAACAUGGUGACCUGCUAAGGAAAACGGCUGUUGUCAGCCGCAGCUGGGAGCCACAGACACAGACCACUUGCGGUUCAUUCUACAGUUUUAAAGCAACAACAAUCCCAGGAAAAAUGGUUUUUGGAUGUAUUUUUAAAAUGUGUUUUAUUUAUUUGAAAGGCAUAGACACAGAGAGAAACAGAAAAAAGACAGAUAUCUUACUCCAAAUACCUGUAACAACCAGGACUGGGUCAGACCAAAGGCGGGAGCCAGGAACUCCAUCUGGGUCUCCCAAGUAGAGGACAGGGACCCAGAGAGUUGAGCCAUCACCACUGCCCCAGGGAGCACAUUAGCAAGAAGCUGGAAUGGAGAACAGAACAGAGACUCGAACCCAUCAAUCUGACAUGGGAGGCAGGUGCCCCAGGUAGCACCUAAACUGACUGGCAAACUGCCUUGCUAUGCUCCUCCCACGGGAAAUUCUGGUUAGUACAGCCGUACCCUGUGUGUUCUGAGAGUCUGCUUUAUGGUAGCGUUGGCUUGUGCAUUCAUUUGCGUCCUCAACAUUUUCCCCUUAUUUUCCUCUGGCUUCUUCUGGGCCAAAAAAGAAGAAAAAAAAAAACAUGAAUGUUCAUAUUCUCUACCCUGCUGCACGUGUUGAGAAAUCCUGUGACACCAACAAGUGUGACAGCGACCUGUCACGUAGCUGAGGGCUGCAGGUUCUGUGAUGCAGUAACAAUCUCGACUACGUUAAGCACCACUGGAGUUCUCACAAGCCUGUCCUCAGCCCUGAUGGGGCCUGAUUGGAAAAACCAACAAGCCCCUCUCUCCUUUUCCGGGGAGCUUCCUUUCUCUCCCCAGGAAUAAAAGAGGUGCUCAAGGUUGUUUGUAUCAUGUGCAAGGGCACCCAUGCCAGGAACAAAAUUAUGGAAGUCCACGUAUCUCCAAACACCAUAUUUCCAUGCAGUGUGAGGCCAGCCAGCCUGACCGGCCAGUGACUGGCAGAAUGGGGCUUCAUUCCAUCAUAAGUGAAAUUCCUGCUGUCUCUGGUACUCUUCAUACAUACGUCCAAGUGUGGACGUGUAGCCCUCACCGUAACAGGCCAAGCAUUAAUUAGCACCUCUGAUCCACCGUGGCAGGGGUGAGAGACGGGGUGCACAUGACACCUCAUGCAUCCAUGGUGCUGUUCGGUGGGGAAAUCUGUCUCCCAGUUCUGACUCCCAACCAGCUAAAACUCCAUGCCAGUGCCAUGGUGUCCAGAACGCUGACUCCACAAACAACACACAGACACAGCAGAGCGCCUGGGAGUGAGAGAGGCAAGGGUGCUGUGGUGACCGUGGGGCCAGGGUGGGUGACAAGCAGAGCGGACAGGAGCAUUCUCAGAGCAUGUCAGGGAGCAGCCCAGCCUCCUCUAAAGAUCAAAAGAUUUCAUCAAAAUAAAUUUUUAAAAAAACAGCACUUACAAGGCGGAUAAGGAAAAAUGGAAUGUUCCAGGACUGCCACUGCAAUGCCAGCAUUUCUGGAACCUCACACGGGGGCCCAGAUGUCUUCCCUUUACCAAAGACUGCUCCAUGGAGAGGAGCCUGAGACCACCCUAGGGAGCUUUCUCACCACAAGGGACCAGGCAGAUAGAGAAAACACUGCUAACAAACGGCUAUGAGUGUGCUACACAGCUAUAGAACCAAGUCUCUUCCCUCGUGGGCCCAGAGCCUUGGCAGCCAGCUUGGGAGCCUGCUCUCACACUGGAGCGGCUGGGACUCGAACUGGUGCCCAUAUGGGAUGCCAGUGCUUAGGCCAGGGAAAAAUGAGUCGUGCAGGACACUGAGGACUUAACUAGAAGAUGGAAGAUCUCUGCCGGUCUGUUUCCGUCUGUCUCUGGCUUUCUGAUAAACGAAAAUAAGUCAAUUUUUUAAAAUUGUAAAAAAUUUUUUCUAAUUGACGGUGUUGCACCCACUUAUAAACUUGUGAUUAUAGGCUA